AAAUUGAAGAGUUUGAUCAUGGCUCAGAUUGAACGCUGGCGGCAGGCCUAACACAUGCAAGUCGAACGGUAACAGGAAGCAGCUUGCUGCUUCGCUGACGAGUGGCGGACGGGUGAGUAAUGUCUGGGAAACUGCCUGAUGGAGGGGGAUAACUACUGGAAACGGUAGCUAAUACCGCAUAAUGUCGCAAGACCAAAGAGGGGGACCUUCGGGCCUCUUGCCAUCGGAUGUGCCCAGAUGGGAUUAGCUAGUAGGUGGGGUAACGGCUCACCUAGGCGACGAUCCCUAGCUGGUCUGAGAGGAUGACCAGCCACACUGGAACUGAGACACGGUCCAGACUCCUACGGGAGGCAGCAGUGGGGAAUAUUGCACAAUGGGCGCAAGCCUGAUGCAGCCAUGCCGCGU
rnacentral:rRNA from 1 species